GAUAUAGUCUGUCUGUUGUGCUUGGUGAUCUCUAUGUGGUGAGAUAAGUUCUAACCCAAACUUGAGUGUAAUUAAGAUAGGAGGAUGGUAUAGUCAUGCUCAACUUGUGUGGACUAGUCCUUAACAAGUUAGCUUGAGACCCAAUUACUCAGUGGAGACCUCUUUAGAGUUACUGAUGUCACACAAGUAAUUUGUGGAUAGGCAUUACUUUCUCUGAU
rnacentral:lncRNA from 1 species